CACCAGCCCAGAAUGGAGGUGGGGCGGCCCGGCGCUUCAACUCCGCCCCCUGCCCCCCAGCCCCGACCCCAAGCCCCCAGAAGCUGUAUUAGGGAACCUGUUCGGUGAUCCGCGAGGCCAGAGUCAAGUAAACGACCUGGAGUGGGCAGGGGCCCGGGGGCUGCUGGCCCGACUGUGCGGGGUCCGGACGUAGUCGGGGCCAGAGUGGCUGCAGUACUCCAGCGCAUCCUCAGAUCUGUCACCCCGCGCCCUGGUUCAUCACUGCGUUAACCUGUGUGCGACCGUAUUUUGUUACGACACCUUGAUCUGUGUUACAUGUUUUGUUCUUGCACGUUAAACUGUGUUAUUGUUAAUGUAACAAUUGACCCGUGUUCUAUUUUGUGUGCCUGUUUUGUUGAUUACAGUAACCAUAGUCGUUGCUGGCAUGUAGAAGACCUCGAAUAAAUGUUUGAAUGAAGGGGAGGAAGCCGUGGGAGGAUGGUGCACUCCAAGGGAGAGUGCACCAGGAGCCUCCUUCGCUUGUCUGGAGAAGGAGCUCAGAGAAGGGGGACCCCUGGGGCUAAGUCUCCUCUGCCAAAUGGAAGCUUGGAGGGGCACAGGAAGCAGGGGUCCCGCGAUGAGGAAACCCUGCUCUGAGCUUGGAACCUCAGUCCAGUGAUGGGGCACCAGAGAGCCCUCUUCCCUUCGAGUAAUCAAGGAAAGCUACCCCAGUGUUGUAGCAACGCUGCUUUUGUGUGGCUCGAGGCUGGCUUUGCAGUUUGCUCACUUUUCCAGAAAGCCGGGCUACCACACCCACGCCUUUGACGUGAGAUCAGCCUGUGUGUGAUAUACCCAAUCAAGAGCUGAAGAGAAAAGGCAAACUUCAAGUUCAAUGGCUUAUCGCCACCUCGUGGUAAGUCCCCUUGUCCCAUCUUCUUGUUGGUCCCUUCUCCCAGAUCUCACCCUAGUCCCAGGAACUCUCAACUUUAAAAUUUCUUAAGCUUCAAAAUGUUUAUAAAAAGAGAGUAACCUCAUCCAAGGAAGACACCCCUUUAUUUAUUUUUUUUAGAAUAUUUAUUUAUUUAUUUCAUUCAUGGAGCUACGCCACUAAUCUGGAGCCAGGAGCUUCCUCUGGGUCUCCUACACGGGUUCAGUGGCUCAAGGACUUGGGUCAUCUUCUACUGCUUUCCCAGACCGUAGCAGAGAGCUGAAUCAAAAGUGGAGCAGCCGGGACUCGAACCGGUGCUCAUAUGGGAUGGUGGCACUGCAGGCGGUGGCUUUACCUGCUAUGCCACAGCACAGCCCCACCACCCUUUAUUUCACAUGUACCACCUUGGCUCUCCUUUCUAACAGGACCUUGUGCUCAACUUGUAGAUUCCGGUUGUCUGUCACUGAAAGCAGGUACCAACGUCAACAUCAGAUUUGUUGAAUGGCUAAUUCUUCAAAUGAUUGAGAAACCUCCUACCUUGCUCCUGUACCUGUGUUAGUGGACACAAAGGUAGGUACAACAUCGUGCUGGCCCCAGCAAGAUAUGGAGACCACCCCCAGGAAGAUCUCCUUCUAGGUUGGUGCUCUGGCCACAGGAAAGGCACCCCCUGAUGAUGUUCCAGGGUCCCGUGUCCUGAUUCACCGACCUGGGAGGUUCGGCUCAACCUCUUCACAGACCAGUUUGCCUUAGGUCCUCUGGUAAGUCGACUCCUGUUUUCUAGUGGUGCUUUCUGGGUGUUUGGAUCUCUGAGGAGACACCAUCAUAAGUUUCCUUGCAAUUGAGUGUGACGGGGUUAGGAAGUGGGACUCUGGUCUGAUGAAAGAAAGGCCUUUCCUGGAUGUAGUUUGUUUUCCGUCAUUGUGCUAUUAGUCAUUGCUGUUAUUCUUGUCUCUGUCUCCCACUUGAAACAUUAAGAUGGGAGAUUCUGGUCUGGUUAAAGAAAGGCUCAUUCGCCUUUCCUGGAUAUGACUGGUUUCUGUUCCUGUUUCAUAACCACUGUCCGAUGUACUGUCUGCAUCCAUAAUCCCAGGAGGUAACUUCUUUUCCUUGUCCGGCCUGUCCCUUUUAUUCCCUUGUCUUCGGAGUCUCUCUGUCCCUUCCAUUGAGCAUGGGCUCUGCUCAGUCUAAGCCAACACCUUUUCUGUGUGUGUUCAAGAAUUUCUCUCUUUUGAAUCUAGAAAGAUCAAAAUUGCCUUAAAAGUUGCCUUGUAAUUUGCCGAACUUGUUUUGUAACUCGACUUUUUACAGAUCCAAAUGAAAAAUAGCAGUGGGGAAUCAGCUCUAUGGUAAAUUUUACAAACUCUGGUUUACGUAACUGAUUUCCAGCUGGAGUUUUGUGAAUAGAUUAGAAUUCCAUUUAAAUGUAGUUUUGACCUUAAUUCAGAUAAAAGUAUGGUAUAAUAUCAGCAACUUAAGUCAUCUAGGUGUAAUCACUGAAUGUAAAUUAAAUAAAGGAAAAUGAGAUGAAUGUGUAUACAUGUAAACUUUGCUAUGCUGAGCACCUUCUAUUCUAUAAAGAAAAAACUAUUUGGAUUUUCAUUUUCAUUUUCAUAAACAGUCCAUAUAAAAAAUAAUUCAAUACUGCUUAAAAAUAACCAUGGUUAAAUUCGAUAUUAUGUUAUUUUAAAAAGUAUUAAUUUGGAGAUUUUUAAAGGAUUAUUUCAAGGUCAAUAAAAAAAAUCAACAGAUAGGGGCCGGCGCUGUGGCGCAGCGACUUAACACCCAGGCCUGAAGCACCGGCAUCCCAUAUGGGCGCUGGUUCGAGACCCAGCUGCUGCACUUCUGAUCCAGCUCUCUGCUAUGGCCUGGGAAAGCAGUAGAAGAUGGCCUAAGUCCUUGGGCGCCUGCACCCAUGUGUGAGACACAGAAGAAGCUUCUGGCUCCUGGUUUCUGAUCGGCGCAGCUCGGCCAUUGCGGCCAACUGAGGAGUGAACCAUCGGCUGGAAGACUUUUCUCUCUGUCUCUACUUCUCUCUGUAACUCUGUCUUUCAAAUAAAUAAAAUAAAUCUUUAAAAAAAAAAAAAAGGUCACGGCCGGCGUGCGGCUCAAUAGGCUAAUCCUCCACCUAGCGGCGCCGGCACACUGGGUUCUAGUCUCUAUCGGGGUGCCAGAUUCUGUCCUGGUUGCCCCUCUUCCAGGCCAGCUCUCUGCUGUGGCCCGGGAGUGCAGUGGAGGAUGGCCCAAGUCUUGGGCCCUGCACCCCAUGCGAGACCAGGAGAAACACCUGGCUCCUGCUUUCGGAUCAGCGUGGUGCACCGGCUGCAGCGCGCUGGCCGCGGCGGCCAUUGGAGGAUGAACCAAUGGCAAAGGAAGACCUUUCUCUCUCUCUCUCUCUCUCUCUCUCUCUCUCUCAUUGUCUACUCUGCCUGUAAAAAAAAAAAAAAAAAGAAAAGAAAAGAAAAAAGGUCACAAGUAUAAAAGUUCCUAGCAAGGAAGUUUAAGA